CUUCUUCUUCUUCUUCUUCUUCUUCUUCUUCUUCUUUGAUUUUCUAGGUGACUCGCAGGAAACCACUUCCUGUCGACUACAUACGCAACACCAACCACCUCUCCCGAUGACGUGUACGAGCUCUGCAGUCUGGAAGCUCUCAUUGACACCUUUAUUGAUGUCGCAUCGAACCCCCAGACUGAUCCCCAGCAUUGUUUCCUUCCACUCAGCCGAGCGCCUGUGCUUACCCAUUGUCGUCGCCUGUGCUUGCCUCUGGGGUCAUCUGUUCUUCUACAUCUUCAGUGGUGUGGGUGAACAAAACGUCAAAAGUAAAAAAUUGAAGAACAUGAAGACGAGAUGUAUAAAACGCCGGCUAGGCAAAGAUCGGCUCUCAGAAAAGCACUUAGAGUAGAGCUUGUGACGGGCUAGGAAAAAUGCCGACGGAGCUCGAACAGGGCUAGGCAAACGAAGAAUGAGAUGGGCAACAUUGAUUUGGGUUUUCCGAACAACGAUGGAGGAUGUUGACGAGCGGGUUUUAAGUUCAAAUUUGCCGGGGUUUUUUUCUUCUCAUUUCUCAGAAAAAAAAAUUAAUCUGGUGAUGUUUGAUUCUUUCUUUAAUCUGCCUGAGAUUGUUCUGUUCUUGGUUUUGCUUUAAAAAAUUGUUUGUAAAUCUGUAAUGAAUUUGAGUUGGAUAUUGUAUGUAAAUUUGGAAUAUAUUUUUUCUUGAAGAAGGUGAACAGUUUAUCAAAA